rnacentral:tRNA from 1 species
GCCUGGGUAGCUCAGUCAGUUGAGCUUCUGACUUCAGCUCAGGUCAUGACCUCACAGUUCGUGGGUUUGAGCCCCACAUCGGGCU